rnacentral:rRNA from 1 species
AGAACGAACGCUGGCGGCAGGCCUAACACAUGCAAGUCGAACGGGUAUCUUCGGAUACUAGUGGCGGACGGGUGAGUAACGCGUGGGAACGUACCCUUUGGUUCGGAAUAGCCUCGGGAAACUGGGAGUAAUACCGGAUACGGUCGAGAGACGAAAGAUUUAUCGCCGAAGGAUCGGCCCGCGUUGGAUUAGGUAGUUGGUGGGGUAAUGGCCUACCAAGCCGACGAUCCAUAGCUGGUUUGAGAGGAUGAUCAGCCACACUGGGACUGAGACACGGCCCAGACUCCUACGGGAGGCAGCAGUGGGGAAUAUUGCGCAAUGGGCGGAAGCCUGACGCAGCGACGCCGCGUGGGGGAUGACGGCCUUCGGGUUGUAACCUCUUUCAGCAGGGACGAAGCGAGAGUGACGGUACCUGCAGAAGAAGCACCGGCCAACUACGCGCCAGCAGCCGC